rnacentral:tRNA from 1 species
GCCUCCGUAGCUCAAUUGGCAGAGCAGCGGACUCUUAAUCCGUUGGUUCGGGGUUCGACUCCCUGCGGAGGCA